UACGAAGGGUGCAAGCGUUAAUCGGAAUUACUGGGCGUAAAGCGUGCGCAGGCGGUUUGUUAAGUCUGCUGUGAAAUCCCCGAGCUCAACUUGGGAAUUGCAGUGGAUACUGGCAGGCUGGAGUAUGGUAGAGGAAGGUGGAAUUCCCGGUGUAGCAGUGAAAUGCGUAGAGAUCGGGAGGAACACCAGUGGCGAAGGCGGCCUUCUGGACCAAUACUGACGCUGAAGCACGAAAGCGUGGGGAGCAAACAGG
rnacentral:rRNA from 1 species